rnacentral:snRNA from 1 species
AGCUGCGCUGUGGGCACAAAGCGAACUAUUCUUUCGCCUUUUACUAAAGAAUACCGUGUGCUCGCUGCAAAUAGCAGCAUACUCGAAUUUUUUGAGGGGAUUUCCAGCAUUUGGAGAAC